rnacentral:pre_miRNA from 1 species
UCUUCAUUUACCUCACUCUCUCACCGGUCAGAGAGGCGAGAGAGUGUGUGAAAUGAAGUGA